rnacentral:rRNA from 1 species
GACGAACGCUGGCGGCGUGCCUAAUACAUGCAAGUCGAACGCACUCUCGUUUAGAUUGAAGGAGUUUGCUCCUGAUUGAUAAACAUUUGAGUGAGUGGCGGACGGGUGAGUAACACGUGGGUAACCUGCCCUAAAGUGGGGGAUAACAUUUGGAAACAGAUGCUAAUACCGCAUAAAACCUAACACCGCAUGGUGUAGGGUUGAAAGAUGGUUUCGGCUAUCACUUUAGGAUGGACCCGCGGUGCAUUAGUUAGUUGGUGAGGUAAAGGCUCACCAAGACGGUGAUGCAUAGCCGACCUGAGAGGGUAAUCGGCCACACUGGGACUGAGACACGGCCCAGACUCCUACGGGAGGCAGCAGUAGGGAAUCUUCCACAAUGGACGAAAGUCUGAUGGAGCAACGCCGCGUGAGUGAAGAAGGUUUUCGGAUCGUAAAACUCUGUUGUUGGAGAAGAAUGUAUCUGAUAGUAACUGAUCAGGUAGUGACGGUAUCCAACCAGAAAGCCACGGCUAACUACGUG